GACGAACGCUGGCGGCGUGCUUAACACAUGCAAGUCGAACGCUGAAGCCUAGCUUGCUGGGUGGAUGAGUGGCGAACGGGUGAGUAACACGUGAGUAACCUGCCCCCUUCUUUGGGAUAACGCCCGGAAACGGGUGCUAAUACUGGAUAUUCACUGAUCUUCGCAUGGGGGUUGGUGGAAAGGUUUGUUCUGGUGGGGGAUGGGCUCGCGGCCUAUCAGCUUGUUGGUGGGGUGAUGGCCUACCAAGGCUUUGACGGGUAGCCGGCCUGAGAGGGUGACCGGUCACAUUGGGACUGAGAUACGGCCCAGACUCCUACGGGAGGCAGCAGUGGGGAAUAUUGCACAAUGGGCGCAAGCCUGAUGCAGCGACGCCGCGUGAGGGAUGGAGGCCUUCGGGUUGUAAACCUCUUUCGCUGAUGGUCAAGCCGCAACAGUGGUUGUGGUGAGGGUAGUGGGUAAAGAAGCGCCGGCUAACUACGUGCCAGCAGCCGCGGUAAUACGUAGGGCGCGAGCGUUGUCCGGAAUUAUUGGGCGUAAAGGGCUUGUAGGCGGUUGGUCGCGUCUGCCGUGAAAUCCUCUGGCUUAACUGGGGGCGUGCGGUGGGUACGGGCUGACUUGAGUGCGGGUAGGGGGGACUGGGAACUCCUGGUGUAGCGGUGGAAUGCGCAGAUAUCAGGAAGAACACCGGUGGCGAAAGGCGGGUCUCUGGGGCCGUUACUGACGCUGAGGACGAAAGCGUGGGGAGCGAACAGA
rnacentral:rRNA from 1 species